ACGUAGGCGGCAAGCGUUGUCCGGAAUUAUUGGGCGUAAAGGGAGCGCAGGCGGGAAACUAAGCGGAUCUUAAAAGUGCGGGGCUCAACCCCGUGAUGGGGUCCGAACUGGUUUUCUUGAGUGCAGGAGAGGAAAGCGGAAUUCCCAGUGUAGCGGUGAAAUGCGUAGAUAUUGGGAAGAACACCAGUGGCGAAGGCGGCUUUCUGGACUGUACCUGACGCUGAGGCUCGAAAGCUAGGGUAGCGAACGG
rnacentral:rRNA from 1 species